AUAAUACUCCCUCCAUCCAAAAUUACUUGUCAUCAAAAUGGAUGUGUCUAGAACUAAAAUACAUCUAGAUACAUCCAUUUCAAUGACAAGUAUUUUCGGACGGAGGGAGUAGUAG
rnacentral:pre_miRNA from 1 species